UAGUCCACGCCCUAAACGAUGCACACUAGUUGUUGCUAUGCUAGACAUAGCAGUAAUGCAGUUAACACAUUAAGUGUGCCGCCUGGGGAGUACGGUCGCAAGAUUAAAACUCAAAGGAAUAGACGGGGACCCGCACAAGCGGUGGAGCAUGUGGUUUAAUUCGACGAUACGCGAAGAACCUUACCUGGACUUGACAUAGAAAGAAUUACGCAGAGAUGUAUAAGUGCUAGCUUGCUAGAGCUUUCAUACAGGUGCUGCACGGCUGUCGUCAGCUCGUGUCGUGAGAUGUUGGGUUAAGUCCCGNAACGAGCGCAGCCCUGUCGUUAGUUGCUAACAGUUCGGCUGAGAACUCUAACGAGACUGCCUGGGGUAACCAGGGAGGAAGGUGAGGGACGACGUCAAGUCAUCAUGGCCCUUAGUCCAGGGCUACACACGUGCUACAAUGGGGUAUACAAAGAGCAGCGAUACGGUGACGUGGAG
rnacentral:rRNA from 1 species